AAACGCAGUUCGACUCCUUUGGGUAUAAAUAUCUCCACGAAAAGUGUAGCUUCUAGCUUUGCGAUAAUUAUUUAAUUCUGAAAAAGAAUAUAUAGAAACUGGUGACGAGUAUUCGUUGUCAAGUUUUUUAAGAAUAACUUUCAGGUUUUCUUGAUUCCUAAAAGUUGCAAAUAAUGGCUAAUAAUAAUUAUGCCGGUUUUAGCUAUGGCGGAACUCAAUAUGGUGCAGGAGGUGCCGGAUACAAUCCAGGGCAGGUAUCCUAUCCAGCUGUAACAAACGCUACCUAUGCUAACGCUGCUGCGUAUCAAUCUGCUGCUGCUGCUGGUCAGGGUGGUUAUGCAGCUGCUGGCGCUUCGGGAGCGGGCGGCUAUGCAGGUUACGGCGACUAUGGUCGCGCACUUCCUGCAUAUGACGCAUCGAAAACAUUUUAUCAACAAGCGUCAGCUAGCUACAACACGGCACCAGCAGCUACAGUUAGUAAAACGCAUUAUUCGGCUCCACCCGUAAAAAAUAUAAAUGCCGGUUCCAAAGCCGCUGGUGUUAAAGAUAAAACAAAUGGAGCUGCUAAAACAGUAGCCACUCCAGCAGCUACCACUGCUACGGCUGUUAAUGCGUACAGUAAUUACGAGUCGGCUCUUUAUAGUGCAGCUUCAAUGUAUGUUGCUCAACAGCAACACCAACCCGGCACUGUUAAACCGAAUGCUAAUGGUGCCUCUGGCAAUAGUUGGCAGUAUAGAGCUCCAAAGGGCGCUGCAGCUGGUGGUGCAAAUGUAGCACGUCCACGCACCAAGCCACCGCCACGGCCGCAACAAUUGCAUUAUUGUGAGGUAUGCAAGAUCUCAUGUGCGGGACCUCAAACUUAUCGUGAGCACUUGGAAGGUCAAAAGCACAAAAAGCGGGAGGCAUCUUUGAAAAUGCAGGCUACAGCACAGUCUGCAGCUCAAAAUCGUGGUAAUAAUUACCACUGUGAGCUUUGUGAUGUUACAUGCACUGGUACCGAUGCCUAUGCCGCGCAUGUACGUGGCGCAAAGCAUCAAAAAGUGGUUAAGCUUCAUCAGAAACUUGGCAAACCAAUACCCCCAGAUGAGCCAAAGAAGUUAUCAAAAAUCAAUUUUGUCCCAGCCAGUGGUUCUACUGAAAAUACAGAGAACGUUGAAGGCGAAAACACUAGUGUCAACGAAAACGAUAAUCAAGAUGAUAAUGCCGUAUCCGGAGAAAACACUGAUAAUAUUAAACCAGUUGGUGGCGAAUAUAUUGAAGAAAUUAAGGAUGAUGAAGGGAAGAUCCUAAGUUUCAAUUGUAAACUAUGUGAUUGCAAAUUUAACGAUCCCAAUGCAAAAGAGAUGCAUAUGAAAGGUCGCAGACAUCGCUUACAGUAUAAACGGAAGGUCCAACCGGAUUUGGUGGUCGACUUUAAGCCCACUCCACGUCAAAGACGACUAGCUGAAGCACGUGCUCAACGUGCUCUUAUGCAAUCGCACCGAGGUGGUAAUGUUGGUUUCGGUGAUGAACAUGAGGGUAGUGGCGGAAUGUAUUGGGAUGAACAACGUCGCCGGGCACAGUACGAUGACGAAUACGAUUACAGCAACUGGUUGGCUCGUAGCUUUGCUGGUGCUCAACGUGGAUUUGGUGGUCGCAUGGGUAAUGGUCCACCACCAUUCUUCGGAAUGAUGCCUGGUGGGGGUGGAAGUAUACGUCGUCCUGAGAGUACUGAUGAUCGUCAUGCAAUUGCUCGUCAUGCAGAGAUUUAUCCCAAAGAGGAAGAAUUGCAAACUAUACAACGCAUCGUAUCACAUACUGAACGUGCUCUUAAAUUUGUAUCGGAUAAACUUGCUGAGAAUACAGAUGAAAAGGGACCAGCUAAUAAAAAAGAAAAACUUGAGAAUGCUCAAGUAAAGGAUGGACGCGAUAAUCAAAUGUUAUCAUUCCAAAAGGAGGCUGAUAGCGGAAACGUACGCAUUCUUAAGGGCGUAAUGAGAGUCGGAUUUUUGGCCAAAGGUCUCUUAUUACAGGGGGAUAAUGCAGUUGAAUUAGUGGUUUUAUGUUCUGAAAAACCAACAGUUGGAUUACUAAAACGAGUGGCCGUUGAAUUGCCAUCUAAAUUAAAGGAAGUGGCAGCUCUUCACCGGAUAUACAUGCCAUUGUCCCAUUGAGAUUGGUUAUUUGAGGUUUGUGAACAGGACAUUCAACUUCACUCUACUUCACUUUUAUUGUGGUGCGGGUACGUGUACGGGUACUCCUCCUUCAUAGUAUCUUUCUUUUAUUGCGCUGUUUGUUGCUGGACUGGAAAUUGAACGGAGAAAACCCAGUUGAAUAUACGGUUGAAGUUGUAGCUCAAGACUCAGCGGUGAUUGUGCGUGAUGAUGUAGUGUCCGUUAAGAUUUCACUUACUUCGCCCCUUUUGCGCGAAGCUACGCAGGAAGCCAAAAAUGAUGC
rnacentral:misc_RNA from 1 species